AGACGGGGACCCGCACAAGCGGUGGAUGAUGUGGUUUAAUUCGAUGCAACGCGAAAACCUUUACCCACCUUUGACAUGGCAGGAAUCCCGAAGAGAUUUGGGAGUGCUCGAAAGAGAACCUGCACACAGGUGCUGCAUGGCUGUCGUCAGCUCGUGUCGUGAGAUGUUGGGUUAAGUCCCGCAACGAGCGCAACCCUUGCCAUUAGUUGCUACGCAAGGGCACUCUAAUGAGACUGCCGGUGACAAACCGGAGGAAGGUGGGGAUGACGUCAAGUCCUCAUGGCCCUUAUGGGUAGGGCUUCACACGUCAUACAAUGGUCGGUACAGAGGGUUGCCAAGCCGCGAGGCGGAGCCAAUCCCACAAAGCCGAUCGUAGUCCGGAUUGUUCUCUGCAACUCGAGAGCAUGAAGUCGGAAUCGCUAGUAAUCGUGGAUCAGCAUGUCACGGUGAAUACGUUCCCGGGUCUU
rnacentral:rRNA from 1 species